GAUCUUCUAGACAACUGUCUAGCAGAAAUCAAGAGACAAACCCUUGAGAUCUCCUCGAGCAGUGUGCUAAUUUGUGGAUUAGACAUCCAUCAUUAGCUGUAAUCAAUGUCUCCCAUAGCGUGUCAACUCUUUUUCUGUGCCAUCAUUAAUUUUGACUAUUCAUUUUUUCAUCUAACACUGUCGUUUUGCAUGCCUCUUGUUUGUACUUAUAAUUUUC
rnacentral:lncRNA from 1 species